ensembl:lncRNA
UAGGUGGUAGGGCAACAUUCGAAUCAGGUGUGUGAGUGGUAGGGAAACAUUCGAAUCAGGUGUGUGAGUGGUAGGGAAACAUUCGAAUCAGGUGUGUGAGUGGUAGGGAAACAUUCGAAUCAGGUGUGUGAGUGGUAGGGAAACAUUCGAAUCAGGUGUGUGAGUGGUAGGGCAACAUUCGAAUCAGGUGUGUGAGUGCGAGGGCAAAAAUAAAAAAGAAUUGCACCCCCUGGGGUCCCCAGGACCAGGAUUGGGAAACACUGAUUUAGCAGCUCCAAAGCACAAAGGACUAGAUAUAAUUGACAGGUUAUUAUGCAUAUCUAGCAGACAAAUUAACCUUCACCAAACUGUAUCACAGAUAAAAAUUUAAAUUACC